GUAGCUUGCUACCGAUCUUAGCGGCGGACGGGUGAGUAAUGCUUAGGAAUCUGCCUAUUAGUGGGGGACAACAUUUCGAAAGGAAUGCUAAUACCGCAUACGUCCUACGGGAGAAAGCAGGGGAUCUUCGGACCUUGCGCUAAUAGAUGAGCCUAAGUCGGAUUAGCUAGUUGGUGGGGUAAAGGCCUACCAAGGCGACGAUCUGUAGCGGGUCUGAGAGGAUGAUCCGCCACACUGGGACUGAGACACGGCCCAGACUCCUACGGGAGGCAGCAGUGGGGAAUAUUGGACAAUGGGCGCAAGCCUGAUCCAGCCAUGCCGCGUGUGUGAAGAAGGCCUUAUGGUUGUAAAGCACUUUAAGCGAGGAGGAGGCUACUUUAGUUAAUACCUAGAGAUAGUGGACGUUACUCGCAGAAUAAGCACCGGCUAACUCUGUGCCAGCAGCCGCGGUAAUACAGAGGGUGCAAGCGUUAAUCGGAUUUACUGGGCGUAAAGCGCGCGUAGGCGGCUAAUUAAGUCAAAUGUGAAAUCCCCGAGCUUAACUUGGGAAUUGCAUUCGAUACUGGUUAGCUAGAGUGUGGGAGAGGAUGGUAGAAUUCCAGGUGUAGCGGUGAAAUGCGUAGAGAUCUGGAGGAAUACCGAUGGCGAAGGCAGCCAUCUGGCCUAACACUGACGCUGAGGUGCGAAAGCAUGGGGAGCAAACAGGAUUAGAUACCCUGGUAGUCCAUGCCGUAAACGAUGUCUACUAGCCGUUGGGGCCUUUGAGGCUUUAGUGGCGCAGCUAACGCGAUAAGUAGACCGCCUGGGGGAGUACGGUCGCAAGACUAAAACUCAAAUGAAUUGACGGG
rnacentral:rRNA from 1 species